UUUAUAUGAAUUUUGGAGCUUCAAAGUUCUGGCCACCAUUCACUUGCAUUGUGAUGAUUUACAGGGAGGAUAUAUUCUUCUAAAAUCUUUGUGUUCAGCAGAAGAAAGAAAGUCACAAACAUCUGGGAUGGAAUGAGGAAAAGAGAUCACACUGCUCAUGAACGAACUGGAUGAGGAUAAGAAGGUGCGCUUGUCACUGCAAACUGAUGUAGAACGGCAAAAGAAGCACAUGUCGAAGUGAGCCAGUGCUGAGAAGCGGUGAAACCACACAGAUAUGCUACGGUGACUCUGAAUGGACAACUCAAGUGUGGAAAUAAAAAAACUGCAAAAGCUUGCAGAAGAACUCAAGAAAAACGGCACUUGAGAGUUUAUGCCAUGACUAAUGCCAUGGCAUUUAUAUAUAGUGUCAAAUGUUUUUAAAUUCUAACAGUGGACUGUAACUAGUAAGAGAGAAUCAAUGAAAAUAAUGUAUUUUGUUAAUGUUUGGACCUCAUUGUUUCAGAGCUAAUACUUCAUUCCAUCUUCAUGAUGCAUCUCAUGUUGUAUUAUGAUUGCAAAAUAACUGAGAAACUCUUUGUGUGUAGGAGGAUUCUGA